rnacentral:rRNA from 1 species
GAUGAACGCUGGCGGCGUGCCUAAUACAUGCAAGUCGAGCGAACAGACGAGGAGCUUGCUCCUUUGACGUUAGCGGCGGACGGGUGAGUAACACGUGGGUAACUUACCUAUAAGACUGGGAUAACUUCGGGAAACCGGAGCUAAUACCGGAUAAUAUUUCGAACCGCAUGGUUCGAUAGUGAAAGAUGGCUUUGCUAUCACUUAUAGAUGGACCUGCGCCGUAUUAGCUAGUUGGUAAGGUAACGGCUUACCAAGGCAACGAUACGUAGCCGACCUGAGAGGGUGAUCGGCCACACUGGAACUGAGACACGGUCCAGACUCCUACGGGAGGCAGCAGUAGGGAAUCUUCCGCAAUGGGCGAAAGCCUGACGGAGCAACGCCGCGUGAGUGAUGAAGGUCUUCGGAUCGUAAAACUCUGUUAUUAGGGAAGAACAAACGUGUAAGUAACUGUGCACGUCUUGACGGUACCUAAUCAGAAAGCCACGGCUAACUACGUG